GGAAGGUUUUUACAGGUAAGGUCGGUAAGGGGUUUGGCCAGGGCACUAUAAUUGGGCACAAACUUCCGAUAAUACCCUGCCGUCCCUAAAAAGGCUAACACCUGAGUCUUGGUCCUAUGGGUUGGCCACUGAGCUAAAGCCUCUACUUUUGUGGUUUCUGGCUUCUGUUUUCCAUAACCAACCCGGUGGCCAAGGUACUGAACCUCAGCCAUCCCAAUACUGCACUUGGCCAGUUUUAAGGUUAACCCUUCCUCCCGGAUCCUGUCUAGGACCGCGCCUAUAUGGGCCAGGUGUUCCUGCCAGGUAUUGCUGAAGAUGGCAAUAUCAUCGAGGUAUGCACAGGUAUAGUCCUGAAACCCAUCUAAGAGUCGGUCCACCAUCCUCUGGAACAUGGCUGGGGUGUUCUUCAUCCCAAAACGGCAU